rnacentral:tRNA from 1 species
GCACACUUAGCUCAAUGGUUAGAGAAUCACUCAUUUAAAGAAGAUGAGGUUGUGGGUUUGAGUCCCACAGUGUACA